GGCUUUAUAGUCAUGUUUAUGACAUUAGACUGCAAUUCUAAAGGAGUAAGAAAAUUACUAAGGCUU
rnacentral:tRNA from 1 species